UACGAAGGGGGCUAGCGUUGUUCGGAAUUACUGGGCGUAAAGGGCGCGUAGGCGGCGUGUCAAGUCAGGCGUGAAAGCCCCGGGCUCAACCUGGGAACCGCGCUUGAGACUGGCAUGCUCGAGUUCGGGAGAGGAUGGUGGAAUUCCCAGUGUAGAGGUGAAAUUCGUAGAUAUUGGGAAGAACACCGAUGGCGAAGGCAGCCAACUGGACGAAUACUGACGCUGAGACACGGAAAAGCGUGGGGGAGCAAACAGG
rnacentral:rRNA from 1 species